rnacentral:rRNA from 1 species
CCUACGGGGUGCAGCAGUGGGGAAUAUUGGACAAUGGGGGCAACCCUGAUCCAGCCAUGCCGCGUGUGUGAAGAAGGCCCUCGGGUUGUAAAGCACUUUCAGUGAGGAAGAACGCCUGGUGGUUAAUACCCAUCAGGAAAGACAUCACUCACAGAAGAAGCACCGGCUAACUCCGUGCCAGCAGCCGCGGUAAUACGGAGGGUGCGAGCGUUAAUCGGAAUUACUGGGCGUAAAGCGCGCGUAGGUGGCUUGAUAAGCCGGUUGUGAAAGCCCCGGGCUCAACCUGGGAACGGCAUCCGGAACUGUCAAGCUAGAGUGCAGGAGAGGAAGGUAGAAUUCCCGGUGUAGCGGUGAAAUGCGUAGAGAUCGGGAGGAAUACCAGUGGCGAAGGCGGCCUUCUGGACUGACACUGACACUGAGGUGCGAAAGCGUGGGUAGCAAACAGGAUUAGAUACCCUUGUAGUC